GGCGGUCAACUGAGCGGGUGACACAGAGUGAGCGGGCCAGUGAGACGCGCCAAGUCUGCGGCUCCGGGGGCACCGGGCUGGGGGCAGCGGUGCUGGACCAGGCCCGGGCUCAGGCGAGAGGAGGGCAGGGAGUUGCGCAGGGGAGGGGAAGCCGGGGACCCCACUCCCGAGCUGCAGGACGCACCGCCCUGCCCUGCCCAGCCGCCUCCAUCUCCCCCGCCGUCCCCUCCUCUUCCCUCGCCAGAGGGCGGGAUCGCGGCAUACCUCGCGGCGGAUCCGAAACCGACCCGGACCUUCUCCCGCCGGGGACCGCCCAGGCCUCCCGCGGCCCCUGGGCCGCCGAAGAAGCCGCGACAGGAAGCGCCCCGGCGGGAGGCGCCUCGGGCUCUAACACGUGACUCCACGACCGGUGCGGCGCCUAUUACGCAUGCGCAAGGCGAAGUGGGCGUGGCGCUCCAACAGAGCACCCAGCAUAGGGCCUCACAUGGGCAGAUACUCAGCAAAAACUGUCGGUGUGACUAGGAGCUCCCCGAGGGCGACUUACCUUCCUGGCUACCAACUGGAUGGCAUCAUCCUCAAAGGCCUUUAAAUGUUUGAGUCGGGACACCAGGAUCUGUUGCAGUUGGCUAUUCCUAUGUAUUCAUUUUUGGAGAACUCCUUGGCCCAGCUUAUGGGUCUGUUAGAACAGCUUGAGAAUGGCCCUACCAGUCGGCUGGACACCCGGUUCAUCAUGAGGCGCUCUGGCAGAUCCAUGGUGUUGGCGAUGGUCAGGACCACAAGCCGGGCCUCCUUGUGAGUGGGCCAGUCAAAGAGAUUGUACAUUAUGUCUUGUUUCUGAGUCCACAGAAGGUCAAGCUGCCAGGAAAUGGGGAGAGACGCAGGGUCAACCACAGAGACGGAGCCGGGGCCCCGGAGUGAAGCCUGUUACCACUGCUUUAGCUUCAUGUGCUCUCAGGUCACACCACCAGCAAGGACAUCAAUAGACACAUGCCUCUCACCACCAGAGUGAAGGAAGAAGGCAGCCAGGACUUUCCUCCCACCCAGUAUUUGCUCCCGGGACACUGCAAUCAAGUGCCACGCCACUUCUUCUCCAGCCCUUCCGUGGGCGCCUCCUUACCUCGUCCACAAGCAGCACAGUGGUUUCCCGAGAGGACCCUCGAGUGCGGAAUCGCUUAGCCAGCAGUUCUGCAGCGUGGUGAGCUGUUGCCCUGUGACCCG